AUUAAGGAGCCUGUGCAUGCCUCAUCAAAAGUGAACUUCAUUAGUUCCCACCAAUAGAGCAGGCGAGUCGGUAGAGCAUAUAAUUGGCAGUUUUCUCUCGUUUCUUCCAAAUUUUGCAUCAUCAGAGUCACCACUACCACUUCAGUGGAAUCCGCUCUCCUAAAACCUCAACCCCAUGUCUCUGUUCAAGCCGUAAUCCUCCAUAUUACGAUUCAAGAUUUUCAUAAACUCAUAUUUCCCUAAAGACAACUGCAGAAUUAACUAGAAGGCUGUUUUGCUUAUCAAGAAAGCGUGAAUUCCUGAUAGAGGGUUUCUGUCGUUAAAUUGUUUUCCCAAGGACUCGGUAAAUGAUCAGGCCGCAUGGACAGAAUCGGAAUCCUUCUGUUCAUGACUGUGACCUUGAUAGUAGUGAGUCGAAUUGGCUACUUUAUUCCCUUACCGAGAUCUGGUAGGAGGUUGAUGCCAAAAAAUCUGUUGGUGAGUAAAUUUCCAUUAUUUUCUUGUAUUCUUUCCGAGGUUGAUUUGGGUACUCCAUUAGUAGGGAAUUGGCAGAGAAUUAAUUCUUGUUUUUAUUGAGGUUUAAUGUUUCUUGGGUGUUGGGCUUUAAUUUGUUUUCCUAUAUAUUAAUUAUAUAUCAUCAUCUUGUUUGUUACUCUCCAAAAUUGAAUGUUGGAGCCUUGUUUUUGAAUAAUUCCUGCAUUGCCUUUGCAUGGUUUCAUUGAAUUCUUGCAGUUGUUGAAUCGAGACUAGUCUAAGUUACUGGAAAUAUUGCAGAAUGGUUUCUCUUUGGUUGGAAUUUUUUUCUAAGCAGCUUCAGCAUUGGUUAAUGUGUGUCAGUAGUUGACAAAGUAUGGCAAUCAUUUUUUGGCCAUUGACGAGCCGAAUACGAACCAUUGUUUCAUGUAUGUUUUUCUGAUCGGCUGUUCCACAUGAAAUGUGUCUUGUUUUUUCCUGCAUUAUAUCCUUUAUCAAUCUUGGAUAUCUAUUUCAUCAUUUCUUUCAUUAACUUCUCCAGCUUGAAUUGCCUUGUGAAGUACGUUCCUAUUCUUUUCUCUUCAAACACAAGCUGCUCAUAAACAAUUCAGUCAGUUUGUAUAAUUCACCAUAUACGAAUGUGCUUGGUGAUUUGAUGCCAGACUUAAGCUUUAUGUUAUUCGGCUUGGGAUCAGUUCUCAGGUAGCAACAUCAAUCCUCAUUAAUGUUGAUGCUGAUUUCUUUAAGUGGAAGGCUCUGAAUGGGUUCUCUCAAUCAGACAAUGGAGCUAAAUCUGGUUCUUCCCCAGAUGUAGUGAUUUCUAACUUGGAUGGCUAGGUUGAACGGUGGCACACCAGGACUUGGUGGUAAUUUGCAGAAAUCCUUGUCCAGCCAACAUGUAUUCUUUUUCAGUUUCGGAAGGAGGUCUAAUUUGGCCUGCCCCUGAAGGGAUUUUUCUUUGGCCACAAAACAGAAAUUGGUAAUACUAUGUAUGUUAUAUGCUGGACAGAACAUGUCAUGCUGACAACUUCAUUCAUGGUGUGCGGUGACAAUGACUUGGAUUCGUGACAAGGCUGACAUUGGAUCAAAGAAUUGCCUUCCGAAGCGUGGCUAAAGGUGACUUCGAUCGCCGUGCAAUGGAAGCGGCAUACUAGACAAUACUUAACGUUGUUGAAGAAAGUUUGCGGUGCUAGGUCCGGAUUGUCUCAUGUUCAAAUGAUUCUAAGUAUGAGCCUCAUCAAGGGUGUUGGAGGCCAUUUGCGUACAUCUAAUGUAAAAACAAGUUCUUGCCCAUGUGAAUAAGAACGUCUUGUUUCUAGUA